rnacentral:rRNA from 1 species
GAUGAACGCUGGCGGCGUGCCUAAUACAUGCAAGUCGAGCGAACAGACGAGGAGCUUGCUCCUCUGACGUUAGCGGCGGACGGGUGAGUAACACGUGGAUAACCUACCUAUAAGACUGGGAUAACCUCGGGAAACCGGAGCUAAUACCGGAUAAUAUAUUGAACCGCAUGGUUCAAUAGUGAAAGACGGUUUUGCUGUCACUUAUAGAUGGAUCCGCGCCGCAUUAGCUAGUUGGUAAGGUAACGGCUUACCAAGGCAACGAUGCGUAGCCGACCUGAGAGGUGGAUCGGCCACACUGGAACUGAGACACGGUCCAGACUCCUACGGGAGGCAGCAGUAGGGAAUCUUCCGCAAUGGGCGAAAGCCUGACGGAGCAACGCCGCGUGAGUGAUGAAGGUCUUCGGAUCGUAAAACUCUGUUAUUAGGGAAAAACAAAUGUGUAAGUAACUAUGCACGUCUUGACGGUACCUAAUCAGAAAGCCACGGCUAACUACGUG